UACGGAGGGUGCGAGCGUUGUCCGGAAUUACUGGGCGUAAAGAGCUCGUAGGUGGUUUGUCGCGUUGUCCGUGAAAACUCACAGCUCAACUGUGGGCGUGCGGGCGAUACGGGCAGACUGGAGUACUGCAGGGGAGACUGGAAUUCCUGGUGUAGCGGUGAAAUGCGCAGAUAUCAGGAGGAACACCGGUGGCGAAGGCGGGUCUCUGGGCAGUAACUGACGCUGAGGAGCGAAAGCGUGGGGAGCGAACAGG
rnacentral:rRNA from 1 species